UUAGAGCGCUCGCUUUGGCAACAGUAAAAUCAGAACGAUUAAGAGAAGAUUAGCAUGGCCUCUGCACAAGGAUGACAUGCCGAUUCAUGAAGUGUUUCAUUAAAAA